rnacentral:lncRNA from 1 species
UACGGUCCCACCGAUUGAUACACCACCUCAUCUGAUAGAUCUUAGUGAAUGUAUCAAUCAAUAGGUAGACAACUCUUGUCCAACGCUUUUCAAGCAAAUUACAGCAAAUUUGAUCUCUAAGUCCUAAAAUCUCACCUGACAGAUCUUGACCUCAUUCUUUAGUUAAGUCAGACCCACCAUUAAGUGCGAGUGAAGCCAUCAUUGGACCCUCACCUGAU